UCUCUCUCUUAUCGCUCUCGUAUCUUUUAGAGAGAGAGAGUCUUCUCUAUUUUCAGCUUUUUGUUUCUGGUUUCGACCAGAUUUGUAUAUUGUUUUCGUUUUCGCUUUCUGCGAUUCAAUAAUUUCCAGUUAGGUGCUGGACUUUUUGUUACCGGCUCAGUCCGGUUCGAUCUCUUUCCAUAUGUAGCUCUUAUCAUCGAUGUCUCCGUCUUCUUCUAAAUUCUCUCUGUUUUCUCCAAUUAUCCGAGGAAUAAUAUCUUCGUCACUCUCCUUUUGCUCAAGAUAUAUGAGCAAAGAAGGAUUCAAGUCUACAUCAAGUUGGGUGUAGCCGGUGGUGGAGCUUCCACGGUGUUGGCAUUUUCCGGAGAAAUUUUGAAGCGUUCUUCAUAUGAAUCCGGCAGAUUUCGAUGCUAUGUUUGGAUUGGAUUGAAGAUCGGCAGAAGGAAGGUAGAUACAGAUCGAUCCAUGGCUGAUUGGCGGUGGCUAAUCAGAAUUAUGGCGAUUUCCGGCGAGGAUUGACGGUGGCGUUGAUAUCUCGACGCGUGGGCUAAGAAGAACACGUAUUAUACACGUGUCAAUAGCUAAUUCAUAUGGGGCUACUUAUGUUUAUCUGUUUACUUUUAAUCUCUGAAUUAGUUUGGGCCGUUCUCGCUUGUAUCCUUUUAAUGGACCUUCUGUACUUGCCUUUGGGCUUUUAAUGAAAACGUUGGCCGACAAAAAAAUAAAAUAAAAUUUAGAAGCAUUGGUGCAGCCUUAGAAGUUAGAACUAAGCUAAUUUAAAUUUAAAGUCCGGUUACAAAUUGAAAAAACAAUUCAUGUAAACGAGUCAG
rnacentral:lncRNA from 1 species